UACGUAGGGUGCAAGCGUUGUCCGGAAUUAUUGGGCGUAAAGAGCUCGUAGGCGGUCUGUCGCGUCUGCUGUGAAAACUCAGGGCUUAACCCUGAGCUUGCAGUGGGUACGGGCAGACUAGAGUGCGGUAGGGGAGACUGGAAUUCCUGGUGUAGCGGUGAAAUGCGCAGAUAUCAGGAGGAACACCGGUGGCGAAGGCGGGUCUCUGGUCCGGUACUGACGCUGAGGUGCGAAAGCGUGGGGAGCAAACAGG
rnacentral:rRNA from 1 species